rnacentral:misc_RNA from 1 species
GAUGAAGAACGUAGCGAAAUGCGAUAAGUAAUGUGAAUUGCAGAAUUCAGUGAAUCAUCGAAUCUUUGAACGCACAUUGCGCCCGCUAGUAUUCUGGCGGGCAUGCCUGUCCGAGUGUCAUUUCAACCCUCAAGCCCCCGGGCUUGGUGUUGGGGAUCGGCGAGCCUCCGCGCCCGCCGUCCCCUAAAUCUAGUGGCGGUCUCGCUGUAGCUUCCUCUGCGUAGUAGCACACCUCGCACUGGGAAACAGCGCGGCCACGCCGUUAAACCCCCAACUUCUGAACGUUUGACCUCGGAUCAGGUAGGAAUACCCGCUGAACUUAAGCAUAUCAAUAAGCGGAGGA